rnacentral:rRNA from 1 species
UCAGGAUGAACGCUAGCGGCAGGCCUAACACAUGCAAGUCGAGGGGCAUCGGGGAAAAGCUUGCUUUUCCGCCGGCGACCGGCGCACGGGUGCGGAACGCGUAUGGAACCUGCCCCUGUCAGGGGAAUAGCCCAGGGAAACUUGGAUUAAUGCCCCAUGGUACCGCGAUAUCGCAUGAUAUUGCGGUUAAAGAUUUAUCGGACAGGGAUGGCCAUGCGUACCAUUAGUUAGUUGGUGGGGUAACGGCCCACCAAGGCAGCGAUGGUUAGGGGCCCUGAGAGGGGGAUCCCCCACACUGGUACUGAGACACGGACCAGACUCCUACGGGAGGCAGCAGUGAGGAAUAUUGGACAAUGGGCGGGAGCCUGAUCCAGCCAUGCCGCGUGCAGGAUGACGGCCCUAUGGGUUGUAAACUGCUUUUAUACGGGAAGAAAUGCGCCCACGUGUGGGCGUCUGACGGUACCGUAAGAAUAAGGACCGGCUAACUCCGUGCCAGCAGCCGCGGUAAUACGGAGGGUCCGAGCGUUAUCCGGAAUCAUUGGGUUUAAAGGGUCCGUAGGCGGGCCUGUAAGUCAGGGGUGAAAGUUUGUGGCUCAACCAUAAAAUUGCCUUUGAUACUGCAGGUCUUGAGUCAUGGUGGGGUCGCCGGAACAUGUGGUGUAGCGGUGAAAUGCAUAGAUAUCACAUAGAACACCGAUCGCGAAGGCAGGUGGCCAACCAUGUACUGACGCUGAUGGACGAAAGCGUGGGUAGCGAACGGGAUUAGAUACCCCGGUAGUCCACGCCGUAAACGAUGGAUACUAGCUGUGGGGAUUUCGGUCUCCGUGUCCAAGCGAAAG